CCCGAGGAGGCGCCGGCGGCCGGGAGCGGAGUGCCCGAGCCCUCGGCGGGCGGGAGCGUGGGCCGGAGCCGCCGAGGUCAAGAGGCAACUGCCAUUGAAAGAUAGUGAGUGACAGUUUCCAGGACAACCACCAUUGAGGGGAGCAGCCAGAAGCACUGACUGAAAGCUUAAAUUACCUAAAUGAGUGAUAAUGGUCUCCAGCUGCCAAAGAAGGCUGUGGAUGCCAAAAGAAAGGUAACCAUUUCUCAUCCCCUCGAGUGGAAUUGGAUGCCUCUUGGAGUUCACACUGGCUGACAGUAGACAUGGCUGAGUUUACAAACUACAAGGAUACUGCCUCCAGCCGCCACCUGCGGUUUAAGUUACAGAGUCUAAGCCGCCGCCUUGAUGAGUUGGAAGAAGCCACAAAAAACCUCCAAAAAGCAGAGGAUGAGCUCCUGGAUCUGCAGGACAAGGUGAUUCAGGCAGAAGGCAGCAACUCCAGCAUGCUGGCUGAGAUUGAAGUGCUGCGGCAGCGAGUGCUGAGAAUCGAAGGCAAAGAUGAGGAAAUUAAGAAAGCAGAGGACCUGUGUCAGCUGAUGAAGGAGAAACUUGAAGAGGAGGAAAACCUCACCCGGGAGUUGAAAUCUGAGAUUGAGCGGCUUCAGAAACGAAUGGCCGAACUGGAGAAGCUAGAGGAGGCCUUUAGCAGGAGUAAGAAUGACUGCACCCAACUCUGUUUGAGCCUGAAUGAGGAGAGAAACCUGACGAAGAAAAUCUCCUCUGAGCUGGAAAUGCUCAGGGUCAAAGUGAAAGAACUGGAGUCUUCUGAGGACCGCCUAGAUAAAACUGAGCAGAGUUUAGUGUCAGAGUUAGAAAAGCUGAAAUCAUUAACUCUGAGCUUUGUAAGUGAGAGAAAAUACCUGAAUGAAAAGGAGAAAGAAAAUGAGAAACUUAUAAAAGAGCUCACUCAAAAACUGGAGCAGAACAAAAAAAUGAACCGAGAUUAUACAAGGAAUGCUUCUAAUCUUCUGGAAAGGAAUGACCUGCGGAUUGAGGACGGUAUCUCUUCCACACUGCCAUCCAAAGAAUCCAGAAGGAAAGGCACUCUGGACUAUCUAAAGCAGGUAGAGAAUGAAACAAGAAAUAAAUCUGAAAAUGAAAAGAACCGAAAUCAGGAAGACAAUAAAGUCAAAGACCUUAACCAAGAGAUUGAGAAACUUAAGACACAAAUCAAACAUUUUGAAUCUUUGGAAGAAGAGCUUAAGAAAAUGAGGGCCAAAAAUAAUGACCUUCAGGAUAAUUACCUAAGUGAACAAAAUAAAAACAAACUCUUAGCCAGCCAGUUGGAGGAGAUAAAACUACAAAUCAAGAAACAGAAAGAAUUAGAGAAUGGGGAGGUGGGAGGGGAGGAUGCUUUCCUGUCUAGCAAAGGCAGGCACGAGAGGACUAAGUUUAGAGGCCACGGGAGUGAGGUAUCUGUGUCUAAGCACACAUCUCGGGAACUGUCCCCUCAGCAUAAGCGGGAAAGGCACCGAAACAGGGAGUUUGCUCUUAACAAUGAAAACUAUUCUCUGAGCAACCGGCAAGUUUCCUCUCCUGGUUUUACGAAUAGGAGGGCAGCCAAAGCUUCCAACUUAGGGGCAGGUACAGAUAGUGGGACUCAGGAGACAAAGAGAACUGAAGAUCGAUUUGCAUCUGGCUCCUCUCAGAGUGAAGGGAAGAAGUCCAGGGAGCAGCCAUCAGUGCUUAGCCGCUACCCUCCAGCUGCUCAGGAGCACAAUAAAGUUUGGAGGGGUACUCCCAAGCCAGGCACUGAGAGUGGGUUGAAGGGAAAAGUAGAGAAGACAACACGAACAUUUAGUGAUGCCACCCAUGGACCUAUUCCCAAUGACAUAUUGUGUAGAGCUGACAAGGCUUCUGACACCUCCACUGAGGCCCUCUUUGGCAAGAGGGGGCAGGCGCCUAGCAAUGGAAGCCAAGUAACUCAGGCCGCAGACUCUGGCAGUUCUAAGGCCAUUGGCGCUCUGGCCUCAUCUCGAAGAUCUUCCUCAGAAGGGCUCUCUAAGGGCAAAAAGGCUGCCAAUGGCCCAGAGGCUGAUACCAGUUCUUCCAAUACCAAGGCUCCACUUUCAUCAAAGUAUCCUUAUAGCUCCAGAAGCCAAGAGAACAUCCUUCAGGGUUUUUCAACCCCAAGUAAAGGAGUUGAUCAACCUGUAGCAGUUGUGAUGGAAGACAGCAGUCAGCAUGAGGCCCUAAGGUGUCGUGUCAUCAAAUCUAGUGGCAGAGAGAAGCCAGACUCAGAUGAUGACAUGGACAUGUCGUCUCUUGUUACUGCCAAAUUGGUAAACACAACCAUCACCCCAGAGCCAGAGCACAAACAACAGCCCAACUUCAGAGAAACAGGCAAAUCCCGAGGGGGCCUUAGAACAGCCCUGUCGGAGGAUGAUAAAGAUGUCGGGACAGAAAAUGAAUCUGUGAAACCUGUCAGAGCCUCCACCAAUACUGUGGAAUUCCCAGAGGCCAAUGGUGCUGGAGUAAAAAGUCAAAGGCCCUUCAGUCCCAGAGAGGCCUUGCGGUCCAGAGCUGUCAUUAAACCUGUCAUCAUUGAUAAAGAUGUGAAAAAAAUCAUGGGCGGGUCUGGAACCGAGGCCACAUUGGAGAAACAGACAUCCACCUCCAAACCAGGACCAAACAAAGUGACAAGCAGCAUUACUAUCUAUCCCUCUGACAGCAGUAGCAGCAGCAGCCCAAGAGCCGCCCCAGGUGAGGCCCCGCGGGAGAGGCACACAUCCACCAGCAAUAUCCAGGUUGGGCCACCAGACCUCACAUCAGUGAGCAACCAUGUCAACCCCCCCUUUGAGCUCUCCAUUCACAAACAUGACAUCACCUUACAGUUCACAGAGGCUGAAAGAAUGGGAGAUGGGUCCCUGAAGAACAGGCCUGAAACAGUGGUCUCUCGGAGCAGCAUUAUCAUCAAGCCAUCGGAUCUGUUGGAGAGGAAUAACCAUGCACCCCCUGCAGAGACAAUCAGGUGGAAAGGCCAUAGUGCUCCUUCAGAGGUGAGCCCUUCAGAGGCCAGGCAUGUUACUGUGCGGAAUGCCUGGAAGAGCAGGCGAGAUUUGAACUCUUUAGAAGAUCCCCCAACUCAGAUAGGUAAAAAUGUGGUGUCUACCAAUGCCUACACCCAGAGGUCUUCUACAGACUACUCAGACCUUGAACAGCCCAGGUCUUACCUUUUGGAGCAGGGUACUCGAAGGGUAGGAAACCCAGGGGAUGCCCCUGAGCUCUCUUCUAGAAGGACCCAAAGUAGCCUCACUGUGUCAGAGAUGCUCACUCGCCGGAAUCGGGUGGGAGAUGCUGUCACGGCUGCGGCUUGGAACCAUGUGGCAGGCAUGGAGGAAGGCGAUGACUGCACACUCAAUGUCUACAGGCGACCACACAGCUCCGUGGAACGGCCUGAACUGCCCGUGAAGCAGGGGCUGUCAGAGCCUGGGCAAGUACAGGCUGAGGAACGGUUACGACCAACCAGGCCCUGUGCUGAGGAAAACUGAGCCAGCCGGGUGAGGUCUGCUGUGUCCUCUGCUCCUGCUCAGCUCUUCCACCUUCCCAUCCUACGAAGGAUCCCGGGCCAGCUAACUGGGCUAGACACGAGGCCUUGGCUGGGAGAUUGUGGCAGAGAGCCAGGCUGUGGCUCAGGUCAUUUUUGCCAGGCGGCCAAUGGAGAUCAGAAACUACAAGCUGGACAGUCACCCAGGCCCAGCCUUCCCUGAUUGAUGCAUGAGUCCUCUCUCCUUGUCCCUGCCCUGUUCCCAGUAGAAUCGGCCACUCUGGCCACAAAUAGGGAAUGAUAUCCUUAUAUCCUCACCACGCAAUAGCCCCUUCCACGCAGUUAAUGUUCUGAUUUCUUGGUCUCCUCACCACAUCCAAUUCACUCCCUGUCUGCCCUAGGGACCUAAGUACCGACACUAAGACUUACCAGCCGUCAGCUCCAUUUAGGGAGCUUCCAUUCCUUUCCCCUUUGGAAUUCUUCAGACUUUUACCAGAGAGGUCUGUGCUGCCUCUAGGGGAUUAUGGGACUAUGACCUGGCCCCCUUGCUGACCACUUGUUUCCUGGGGGCAGAGCACACAGGUACCUGCCCACCUAUUGGAAUGACAUCAUCCCUCCCCUGAUCCCAGCUCUCAGCUCACCUUCCAAAGGCACCUGGAAGUGCACACACCUCAUGCAUCUCCUUCCCUGGGCACCAAUAAUGCUACUGGCAUUGCCUGCUUCUCCUGUGGCUGGAGACUUCACGUUGACUUUGUUUCCACCUUCGGAAUAUUCCCCGACUAAACUGGGCCUGACCCAGCAUACUCUGCCUUCUAGGAAGCGCCCAGCAAAGGGGAAAGUGGACAGGAAGAAGCACUUUCCCAUUAGUCACUCCACAAAGCAAUAGCUCCGUGAAAGGCCUGGACUUUGUUCCUCCUCUUCCAUCCCCUAGGGAGGAGGUAUCGCACUUUACCAAGCUGAUGCAUUCCUACAGAAGUGGGCCCAUGAUUCCUGCAAACCAACUAUCAUGAUGACUUCAUGGGAGGAAAGGCAGGUGCUCGGGCCUCUCCCCUGGCUCUUGGAGUCUAGGUGCAGCAGCUUCUACAUUCCUGCUCCAAGCAUGGGACCAAGGAGGCCGGACCCUGUCGCUGGAAACCAGGGCACAGCCAUGAGCGGUGACUCGGCUCCUUGGGUGCAUGUGUCUAGCUGAAGCUGCCUGUCUGCAUGUAUCCUCUGGCUCUAACGCUGUCUGUUGGCUCUGCAGCACAAUAUGUAACCAAUAAAGCUCCCUAGUUUCCA